GUGUUUUUUUCCCCUUUACACUGAAAUUUCUUUCAUGCUUAUUUCUUCUAUAGGAAGAACCUGCUGAUGAAGAAUUUGAGAGUACAGCUUUAGAUCAAUAUGCAGUUGUAUAUGAAAAGGAAGAAACAAAGCUACCUAGCAUAGUGAAUGUGUGUUCCAGUCUUGAGACUUGGAACACCAUUAAAAAUGAAUCCCAAAAUAUUGUGCGAAAUAAUGUUACAACUUCAGAACAAUCAAAACUUCAAAAGGAUUUAAAUAUAGUUCCAAGUAAUGGUACAAGUUUAGAACAAUCAAAACUUCAAA
rnacentral:misc_RNA from 1 species